rnacentral:lncRNA from 1 species
AUUUUACUCAUUUGAUUUCUUUUUUCUUGUAGUCUUCUUGUCCAGUUCUCAGGUGUUUACCACCUAUCAGAAUUUCACCUGUAUGGGUCCUGUGCUUGAGAAAGUCCCAGGACCUGUCAGCUGCAUAGGCCUCAUAAAAGACAGCUCUGUUCAGGGUCUGAAAGGGACUGCAGUUAAGAGCUAGGGCUAGGACUUGGAGGAUGUGUAGGCAAAACGGAAAGAGAGCCGGGGGAAGAAAAACCGAAAUGGAUUCAUUCUCUGUCCUGGAUGGAGGAGGAGAGGAGAAGAGAAGAGAAGGGGACGUGCGAGCUUCCUUCAACUGCCUCUGUCCGGUGAAAAGUGCUCAGACCCCCGGGGCUGCGCCGGACUCCGGAGUCCGCGCGGACUUUCGCGCUGAGCUGCCAAUCAAACCGCUCACAGCCACCACCCUGCUCUGGCACCGACAUGGUCUGUGUGAUCUCCUCCAGGAGAGGCGACUCAGCAGCUCGGUCCCCUCUGCCAUCUCAGCACUGCCAGGGGAGCAGCCCAGGAGGAGCAGAGCAGUGGCUGAGCAGCAAUUUGAAUAUCCAUAUUUAACUCUUCAAACAACAGAAGAUACUUCAGAACCAUGUUAAGAAGGAUAAGCUUGGAGUGCCCAGUCACCGUGGUAACUGCCAGAAAAAUUCUCCUGAAGUUUGAAGAGGUCAGCUAACGGGGUCAACAACUCUGGCCUCUCUCUGAGCUGGGCCUGGCAGGCUCCAUCCUGCGGUUGGGGUGUUAGCGCAGGCUGAGCCCUGGGAGGUGGACCAUUCCAGCUCUGAUAUAAAUUUUUUGAGUCAGUUCACGGCCUGGACUCUCCAGGUGGCCUCCAAAAUCGAUUGUGACCUUGUGACCCUGUCUAACGGAGGCAUAGCAUCCAACCUAAGUAAGGAUUUAGCCAGGAACGACAGCUUUCCACUGAGUGUUAUUGGGGACAGUACAAACAGUUUGGGAAGCAAGGAGGUAGGUAUGAGGAGUGGAGGUCAUUAAAAGCAUAUUAAAAAACAAUGUUAAAAAUCCUUUUUAGUUGAAAGUUUUUAUUUGCAGUAACCAUUCCUUAAAUAAACCCUUCUGGCAACUAUUUUUUCCUUCUAUAAUAACAUUGCGUCAAGUGCUUCAGUGCAUUAAUAUACGAAAAAUCGGCACUUUGCGUAUUCCAAACCAA